rnacentral:rRNA from 1 species
CCGGCACGGGUGAGUAACACGUAUCCAACCUGCCGUCUACUCUUGGACAGCCUUCUGAAAGGAAGAUUAAUACAAGAUGGCAUCAUGAGUCCGCAUGUUCACAUGAUUAAAGGUAUUCCGGUAGACGAUGGGGAUGCGUUCCAUUAGAUAGUAGGCGGGGUAACGGCCCACCUAGUCUUCGAUGGAUAGGGGUUCUGAGAAGAAGGUCCCCCACAUUGGAACUGAGACACGGUCCAA